AUGGUGAUGGGAUACUCUCGCGCUGAGUCAGUGGCCAUCGCCAAUAGACUUAAUUGCCGCCUGGGCUCGUUCCCCACUACCUACCUUGGGACGCCCAUCAGUGACUCACGCCUCUUGGCCGCCGAUCUUCGCCCCUCCGUGACCAAGCUCCAGACUAGAUGCGAGCCCUGGCAGGGGAGGUGGCUCUCCAAGGCGGCCCGGACUAUUCUUAUCAACUCCUCCCUCUCCAGCCUCCUCUUAUUUCUUAUGAGUUUCUACAGCCUCCACGAAUCUCUCCAUAAGGAGAUCACCAAAAUCCAGUCCCGCUUCUAUUGGGCUGGCGAGCACGGCAAGCAGAAGUAUCACAUGGUCAGCUGGCCUGACAUCUGCAAGCCUCGGGAGCAGGGUGGAUUGGGGAUCAUGUGCUCUAAGCGGAUGAAUAUUGCCCUCCUAUCCCGGUGGCUGUGGCGCAUCUCGCAGGGUCAGGGUGGCCUAUGGCUGGACAUUAUCCGGAAUAAAUACCUGCGCGGCCAACCCCUUGCCUUCUGCCAAAAGUCGGGAGGUUCUCAGUUCUGGCAGUCCCUCGUCCAGCUCCUCCCUGUGCUCCGCAUUGGUACCUCUAUCUCGGUAGGGUCCGGCCUCUCGACGCUCUUCUGGUUUGACCGAUGGGCCGGCAACUCCCCCUUUGCGGCUCGCUUCCCCAUCCUCUUCUCCAUCUCUGUGGACCCCAUGAUUUCUGUUGAUAGGGCCCUUAUUGACUUAGGGCGCCUCGCUUUCUGUCGGCCAUUUGGGCCUGCGGAAUCCGCCGCCUGGCGUGAGCUGCUUGAUUGCGUCGCUCUGCAUGAGCCGCUGGUGGAUGGAGCCCAAGACCGUGUGCGUUGGCACUUGGAGUCGUCGGGCCAGUUCUCUACCAAAUCGCUCUACAUGGCCAUUGCCCCCUCCUCCGCUCCCCCCCCCUCUUGA
rnacentral:rRNA from 1 species